rnacentral:rRNA from 1 species
GACGAACGCUGGCGGCGUGCCUAACACAUGCAAGUCGAGCGGAGUCGAUCGACGGAAGCCUUCGGGCGGAAGAUGGUUGACUUAGCGGCGGAUGGGUGAGUAACGCGUGGGCAACCUGCCUCGAAGACCGGGAUAACAGCCCGAAAGGGCUGCUAAUACCGGAUGUGGUCAAGGAUCCGCAUGGAUUUUUGAUUAAAGGGGAAACCCGUUUCGAGAUGGGCCCGCGUCCUAUCAGCUAGUUGGUGAGGUAAAAGCUCACCAAGGCGACGACGGGUAGCCGGCCUGAGAGGGUGACCGGCCACACUGGAACUGAGACACGGUCCAGACUCCUACGGGGGGCAGCAGUGGGGAAUCUUCCACAAUGGGCGAAAGCCUGAUGGAGCGACGCCGCGUGAGCGAAGAAGGCCUUCGGUUGUAAGCUCUGUCUGGAGGGACGAAGGAAGUGACGGUACCUCCGGAGGAAGCCACGGCUAACUACGUGCCAGCAGCCGCGGUAAAAGGUACUACUAU